rnacentral:lncRNA from 1 species
UUCAACUCAUCAAAAGUGUGCUAUUUGAAAUACAAACCUACUGGGCCCAGAUAUUUCUCAUUCCCAAAAAAGUCAUCAAACUGGUGGAUGCAAUAUGCAGAAACUACCUAUGGACUGGCAGUCAUGAAACAAGCCACAGGAAUCCAAUAGCAUGGGAAACAGUAUGCAGACUACAUGCAGCUGGAGGAUUGAACAUUAUCUGUUAUGAAAGAUGGAAUAAAGCAGCUUUGACUAAACCAUGAAACAAACCACAGGAAUCCAAUAGCAUGGGAAACAAUAUGCAGACCACAGGCAGCUGGAGGAUUGAACAUUAUCUUUAAUGAAAGAUGGAACAAAGCAGCUUUGACAAAACUGCUAUGGGCGGUCCUGAAAUGCUCUCGG